GUACAAGGCAUCAUAUCAAAGAUUGCAUAUGCCCGAAAGAAGGACAAAUCCAAUUUGGCUUUCUGGAUGUAUGGAAAGCUCUCAACCUUCCAGAAAAGUACUUUUCAAAGGAACACUUAAAUCCCUCCGACAGGCCCUCUGGUGGUGACGUAUAAGUGCUUUCUCAGUACUUUCUCUCGCUUUUGGACAAAUCCAAGUGCUGUAUCUGUACCCGAAUAGAAAUAAAGGAUUUUAAUGAAACAGUUUUCUUCCGCUCUGAAAGUGAACGAAUGACAAAACAGUCUAGAGAAUUCCUCGCCCUGCUGCAGAAGAUCAAUCCUGGGUUGUGCUCACCAAAGCAAACCUCUUUUUUGUGUAUUCAGUGUCUUAACUAUGUAAAAGACAACUAUAACAGGGUGAGUGGUUUCCUCCUGUUUUACUAACAUUUAAAAACAUUAUUAUUCAAAGGUAAAUAGACAGCGAGUAGUAAUUUUUAAUCCAUUUCUAUCGGAUUUGCAAACUUUUAAAAUGAUAUAACACUUGUACGAUCUCAAACUUAUGUGAUUUGAUACUGUUGAUAUAAAUGUGGGAAGUAAUAAAGUAUUUGCAGGUGUACAGUGCUGUUUCUGAAAUUGACGAAUCCUCUUGUGAUGAAGAUUGAAGAAGCUAUUGCCAUCCAAGUGGAAAAAGUUCCGCCUUUGUCACCCUCCUCGAAUAGAACUAAGAAAAUGUGGAGACUUUCUUCAUUUAGUUCCCAAUCAAGUGGACCAGAUGUUGAUUUGUUUGAAAUGGACUGAGACUUGUGUUUCAUAUGCCAGGUUGAACAGACGUUAGAAACGAAAAAGGAUAGUCUGAUUCAAGGAAAAGAUAAAAGUUUCUUCGUCGAUUUCGCAACAUACUAUCUGUGGACAUCUACAUUCUACAGAAAUCGUCAGGAUCUGUGCAACAUCGAUCUUAAUCCUGAUUCGCACAUGAACAAGUGCCCUGUUCUUAACCCUGAAAGUCUCGGAAAAUAUCUCUAUAGCAAGCUAGGUAGAUAUCACAAAACAUGUCGUUUGAGGUACAGCAACUCGAGGGUGAAACAAUUGAAGGGUAAAUUAUCUGAAGCUUUAAAAUGGAAAGACACGUGUCCACGCACGACAACACCAAUGCUGCAUUAAUGAGUGCAGGUAUUGACGCUGUACGGACCUUUUAACUGGAGCAGGAGAAUGUUUUACCAGAACUGUACCUCGUGUCUGACCCGAAGCUUAAGUACAAUGACUAUGUGACGUCUAAUUUAUCUGAGAACGCUGCAAACUCCAGCAAUGUUUAAUCUGAUCACAUCAGUUUUCAGAAAGACAAUAUCGGUAAGACGAGUUUGUUUCGACAGCAGAAUCGUAUCUAAUCUUGCCGCAACAAUAGAUGCGGAUAGAGAUGAUAACACUUUAACAAAGACAGCACUCAUAAUAUAAAGGAGAUUAGAAAAGAAAUCUUUCAAUGUAGAAACGAAUUCUAUCAGCUAUGUUCGAUUUACUGAUCGGUGGCAUCUGUAGAAAUAUAGUGUCUAUGUGGAUUAAUCUGUUAAAGCAGGGCUAUUGUAUCAUUUUAACAUUAACUUUGCAUAGUGAUGAUACUUUUAUUGUGUCUCUUGUGAUUAUCUAUU